UGUUACCGAAAUUAUAAUUUCCACGAUAUAAUAUUUUAAAUAAUCACGAUGACUCUAUUGAUCUUUCGAAAUUGCUUGGUUUGACGUAAAAAUGAGUUGUUGCGAAAAUUGUAGUGAUGAAAAUAUAGAGGUUUUCUACACUGAUAGGAAAGUUAAAGGGUUAUUCUUGAGCCUAGUUCUGAUUAUCUUAUUUCUAACCUAUCGGCUGUACCGUUGCCAUCAUCCCCGCAGGAGUCUUUUAUGCAGUUUUUAAAUAAAAAGGUCAGUCCGGACGGAGCCGGGAUGAGAGGCCAUGUAUACAUCAAAAAGAGAAAAAUGAAAACCGACAGAAAGCUAAUUAACUCACUUGGAUUACUGCCCUUAUAGUUUACAACAGACCAUCAUCGUCAGGGUAUAGAAAUGAAACACAAUUUAAAAAAUAAAUUAAUUUAAUAAAUCA